ensembl:lncRNA
AUCUCUCUUUGGUUUUCAGAAUUUCUAAUUUGGUGUUUGAUGAGAAGUUUUUAACUUGUUCUUUUUUUUCUUUCUGUUAUCAUAGUAACCUUAAUGAGUUUGUUGCAUAGAAUGUAAAGGUAACUUUGAAAAGAACUAGAAUAGGUGGCCAAGUAGAAUAAACAACAAAAUAUGGUGGAAAGCACAAGAGAGCAGUUCCUAGUAGGUAGCAGAAGAGAGUAACACAUGGCACAGAGUAUUGAGAGCAAUGGCUGGCCAGAACAGUACUAAGCAGAGAGCAGUCUGAUCCCAUUAAGGCAUGACAUUGAUAACUUUGCUGUGAUAGAUUUUAGAUCAAGACAAUGAACCAAGAUAAUUCCAAAGGACCCAUGACAAAAAAAAUACUAUUCAACUUCAGAGACAGAACUGAUGAACACUGGGUACAAACUAAAGUAUGCUUUUAUUUUUCAUGUGUAUGUGUGGGUAUGUGUUUCUGUAUGUAUUUUCUUUUGCAACAUGGCUGAUAUGGGAAUAUAUUUUGUGUGAAUUCUCAUAUAUAAUCAGUAUCAUAUUACUUCCCUUCACCAGGUAUUGGGAGAGAAAUAAAAGUGAGAGAAUUUUGAUUUUAAUUUUUUAAUUUUAUAAUUUAAUAUUACUAUGUUAUUAUGUUACUAUGAUAACAGAAAGAAAAAAAGAACAAGUUAAAUUUAUAUAUAUGUAUAUAUGGAAAAUAUUUGACAAAAUAUUAUUAAAAAAGCAAGUAUGAGUGGAAGAGGAAGUGGACUACACUAGAUAAUAGUUUAUCAGGGGAAAAAAGAUUUUUAGUAUUAAGUGGACUGUGUUUAAAGCGUUUUACAACAUUUCUUCCUUCAUUUCUUCUUUCCUUCUUUCCUCUGUCUCUGUCUCUCUCUCCUCUCUCUGUCUCUCUGUCUCUUCCAUUUAACCUUCCAAUUUACACACGAAUACAGACAUUUUUGCUAUUUAUAGCUAAUAUAACUAAAAUUUCUGGCUUUGUACCAGAAAACAUUUCAGCACCUACAAGAGAACAGCUCAGAUUACAAAAUCAAGAUUCUACUGACUAUUAUAAUACUCACUUGUGCUUUUAUAAUUAUUGGCAGGGUGAGGUAAUAAUGAAAAGGGUAGAAAAGAAGUGGCUUGGUGAUAUUUUUAAACAUGCAUUCAGUAAGUCACUGGAAAGUCUAAAAGAAUUACACAAAAGCAAUAUCAUUAAGAACCCCUCCUCCUCCCAAUAGAGUAAAAGAUGAAUGAGAUCUAUUUUUAUUAUUGGAGAAAAAAAAACAUUAUAAACUUCAAACAUUUCAUGAGUUAAAUCUCUUAUUUUAUGUUUCUCUAAUUUUCAUUUUCCUGUAAUUUACAAUGCUAUACAAUUUAAAGUCGUCAAUAUUAAACCAUGAUGAAAUGAUAUGAACUAUUUAAAUAACUUUAUAUAUUGCUCUUAAGGUUUAAUUUAAAAAAAAAAUGAAUUUGUUGUCAAAGGACCUGGAUUAAAAUCCUGACAUUGCCACUUACUAACUGAAAACUUGGGUAAAUCACAAUCUCUUUGGGUCUCAAUUUUCUCAUUAGCAUUAUAAGGGGAUUGAACUAGGAGAUCUCUAAGUAUCCACCAAGCCCUAAAUUUAUUAUUCAAUGAUUUGAUAGUAUCUCUUUUUAGCUUUUACACGACAACUUCUAAGGUUUCAAAUUCCCAGAAUUUGCACUAAAUUUCUCAUAUGCUUUCAUUUCUUGAAAUUUUCCAUUGUUUUCUGUAAUAUUAAAUUCAAAGAAUAGUCAAACUGUUAAAAUGAGUGUCCAAC